rnacentral:rRNA from 1 species
UCGAACGCUUCUUUCCUCCCGAGUGCUUGCACUCAAUUGGAAAGAGGAGUGGCGGACGGGUGAGUAACACGUGGGUAACCUACCCAUCAGAGGGGGAUAACACUUGGAAACAGGUGCUAAUACCGCAUAACAGUUUAUGUCGCAUGGCAUAAGAGUGAAAGGCGCUUUCGGGUGUCGCUGAUGGAUGGACCCGCGGUGCAUUAGCUAGUUGGUGAGGUAACGGCUCACCAAGGCCACGAUGCAUAGCCGACCUGAGAGGGUGAUCGGCCACACUGGGACUGAGACACGGCCCAGACUCCUACGGGAGGCAGCAGUAGGGAAUCUUCGGCAAUGGACGAAAGUCUGACCGAGCAACGCCGCGUGAGUGAAGAAGGUUUUCGGAUCGUAAAACUCUGUUGUUAGAGAAGAACAAGGACGUUAGUAACUGAACGUCCCCUGACGGUAUCUAACCAGAAAGCCACGGCUAACUACGUGCCAGCAGCCGCGGUAAUACGUAGGUGGCAAGCGUUGUCCGGAUUUAUUGGGCGUAAAGCGAGCGCAGGCGGUUUCUUAAGUCUGAUGUGAAAGCCCCCGGCUCAACCGGGGAGGGUCAUUGGAAANCUGGGAGACUUGAGUGCAGAAGAGGAGAGUGGAAUUCCAUGUGUAGCGGUGAAAUGCGUAGAUAUAU